GACGAACGCUGGCGGCGUGCUUAACACAUGCAAGUCGAACGGAAAGGCCCUGCUUUUGUGGGGUGCUCGAGUGGCGAACGGGUGAGUAACACGUGAGUAACCUGCCCUUGACUUUGGGGUAACUUCAGGAAACUGGGGCUAAUACCGGAUAGGAGCUCCUGCUGCAUGGUGGGGGUUGGAAAGUGUCGGCGGUUGGGGAUGGACUCGCGGCUUAUCAGCUUGUUGGUGGGGUAGUGGCUUACCAAGGCUUUGACGGGUAGCCGGCCUGAGAGGGUGACCGGCCGCAUUGGGACUGAGAGACGGCCCAGACUCCUACGGGAGGCAGCAGUGGGGAAUAUUGCACAAUGGGCGGAAGCCUGAUGCAGCAACGCCGCGUGCGGGAUGACGGCCUUCGGGUUGUAAACCGCUUUCGCCUGUGACGAAGCGUGAGUGACGGUAAUGGGUACAGAAGCACAGGCUAACUACGUG
rnacentral:rRNA from 1 species